GGGAGUUUAUCUGUAGUGCGAGUCUUUGCACGUUAACUGUAAAGGCGUAGAGAAAGCAACUGGCGUUUGCAUGGCUACUGAGCAUUACUGAUAGGACCCGAAAGGUGGUGAACUUUGCCUGCACAGGUUGAAGUCAGGGGAAACUCUGAUGGAGGACCGUACGGGUUAUUGAUGUGCAAAUCAUUUUUCUGAUGUAGGUAAAGGUGCGAAAGACUCAUCGAACCACCUAAUAGCUGGUUUCCUCCGAAGUUUCCCUCAGGAUAGCUGUAAUGCAUUUAGUUAAGGGGAGUAGAGAUAUGGGUAGAGGUGCAGGGAGCCUUCGGGUUCUCAACUUAUUUCCAAACUUCGAACCUCCUUGUUAGGCAUUUACCUAACUGGAAAUGCUUAAAUGAAUUAGCGUUACAAGUGGGCUCUGACCGGUAAGCGGUCAUGGCGAAAUGGGAUGAACCAUACGUCUGAAUAAGGUGCCGAAAUGUACUAUCACUGAUACCAUAAAGGGAGUCCAUGUAUUUAGACAGCAGGUCGGUGCCCCUAAAAGCAGGUAUCCGCUAAAGAGUGUGUUAAAACUCACCUGCCGAAUACUAGGGCCCCGAAAAUGAAUGGCGCAUAUAGUACUACCGAUCUCAGACAUCAGUUCUAUUGAACUGAGAGUAGGGGGAUGUGGACAUUUUUGUGAAGGUGCAAUGUGAGUUGGACUGGAAGGAUGUCUAUUACAGAUCCUAAUUGAAGUAGCGAUUAUCCAGGCUUGUAUCCUGGGGGCUGAUGAGGAGUAGGGUUUCUGGACAACUUAAACAGAUCCAGAGUUAGUCGAUCCUAAUCUCAAUAAUGGGAGAAAGGGAGUACAGUUGAUAUUCUGUAACUGACAACAGUUCGCGGCAACGCAUACUAUUUUUCUCCGCCAAUCUUAUACCGUUGGUAGGGAUCUCUUUCCUACAUGACAGUA
rnacentral:ncRNA from 1 species